rnacentral:rRNA from 1 species
CUCGUAGGCGGUUCGUCGCGUCCGGUGUGAAAGUCCAUCGCUUAACGGUGGAUCUGCGCCGGGUACGGGCGGGCUGGAGUACGGUAGGGGAGACUGGAAUUCCCGGUGUAACGGUGGAAUGUGUAGAUAUCGGGAAGAACACCAAUGGCGAAGGCAGGUCUCUGGGCCGUUACUGACGCUGAGGAGCGAAAGCGUGGGGAGCGAACA